GAGCAGGAGUUGCAUGCUCUACCAGGGGAGCCAGCCAGGUGCCCCUCUACUUUUAAGUGUGAUUUCGGGAAUUACAGAGCUGCAGAGAAGAGAAACUACCAGAAAAGUACUAAACUUUCACCUGGUUUUAUAUUUAGUAAUUUUGAAUUGCUCUCAAAGUAGAAAAAUAAAAUUGGUGUUUCAAAUAAAUACACUUGAACUUUUGUAUUCUACUCAUGCAUUUUUAAAAAUUAAAAUCCUACUUAUUUGUUAAUAGUGAAUUAAAAAUAGAUUUUUAAUAUGGAGGGAGAGAAAUAAGCAUGUUUAUUACUCAAGAUGAGCAGUUAGUCAUCCAGCCAAAAGCUUUCAUCUGUCUUCUUUUACAAUUAAAACAAAAUCUAUUAGUCCUGUCAAUCAGUAGUCAUCUGGAGUGAUGACAAGGGCUGUACAAACACCAGUAGCAGCUUCCAGAGAAUCAAAGAUGAAACUUUUCAGAAUGAAGCUUACCUUAUAUGAAAUAAAUCAGCCUUUCAUGAUAAGCUGGGUAGCUUGAAUGCUCAACUUCAAUAAACCUGUAAAUUAAUAUCCUGUAAUAUGGAUUUGGGAACAUUUUCCUUUUACUUAGUAAUCAUCUGUAGUUCUUUUCCUUGGAAAUGCACUGAAUCUCAUUUUCAUUUUAGAGCUGCUACUGAGAAAAUAACAUUCUCAGCUCUCUGGGUAUUUAUAAUACUUGGAAGAAGUAAAGUAAAACAGAGAAACUGUGCAAUUUUAUACUGAGAAUGUGACUCUGAGAUUUUAUUUAAAGUAAAGUAAACAGAUUUUUUUGUUUUCUUGUUUUGUCAUGGUCAGUUUGCUCAUACUUGAGUGCUCAAGUUUAAUCAGAAUGCUGACAUACCAUUGUUUUCUUAUUUAGAAUGUUGCUUUGCUAUUUACAACAUCUUUUCAGUAAGAAAAACUAAGUCAACUGGGUUUCUUAAUAAUGCUGUCAGACAGUAAGAAAAGACUUAAGAUCUCUUCUGGUUUGUGAGUUUAAUUCAGUUAAACAAAUAUGUUCAGAAUAUCAGCUUUGCGCAGGAAUUAAAUGCUGGAGUAGAAAUAGAGGUUCUCAGUAGGUAUAUCUUAAUAGAGGAGGUUCCAUCUGUUAAAGAGUUUAACUUCUUGACUAAUGCAAACAAGCUAGUGUAAUAUAAGGAAGAUUAUAAGAAACCUACUAUAAAGUACUGUGGAACAUGGGGGAGGAAACAAGUCCUGCCAGGGAUCAGAGAGAAGACUCCUUGGAAGAAAUAGCAUUUUAAUUUCUCAUGAAAAAUGAGUAGAAUUUCAACAAAAAUGAGAGAGAGAGAGAG